AGAGGGAUAUUGUUGAGUGUUUUGCCCAGGCGGCUCCUCAUAAGGCAGUCUUUCUGUGAAGUGUAAAGCUGCCUGGUGAAGAGCUGUCUGGUCAGAAACUAGACCAGGAAAUGGCCCAA
rnacentral:precursor_RNA from 9 species